rnacentral:tRNA from 1 species
GACGGUAUAGUUUAAUUUAAGAUGUGUGCUCUGCGAGCGUUCGGUGGAGGUUUCUCUUAUCGUUG